rnacentral:lncRNA from 1 species
AGCCCGUGGCUCGGGCCUGCAGCCGGGCCCAGCACGAGCAAGGCCUGGGUGCCAGCAGCAGGGCCACGCUGCAGCAGGAGGACAGCAAGGCAAAGCAAAAAGGCACCUGUAAUCCCUGCGCUCUGGGAGGCUGAGGCAGGAGGACCACAAGUUCAGCCUGGGUGACUCAGCGAGGCCUUGUCCCCAAACCCAGGCCCCGGGAGCCCCUCUCCGCUCCUCCCAGGCUCCCGCGCCUACGCACUCAGAGGGCGCACCACGUGGUCGCCCGUGUCCCCGGAUCCUCCUGGACACGCAGCAGGGCCCGUCCUGAAGGGGAGCAAGUUCCCAGGAGGGGCUCACUGUGUAGCCCAGGCUGGCCUCGAACUCCCAUCGAUCCUCCUGCCUCAGCCUCCCCAGAUGCUGGGACUACAGGCGGGCACCAGCAGGCCCCAAGCUUUAGGGACGUUUUCCCGGACUUGGUUGCAGAAACAAAUUCCUUAAAUUCCUCAGGGCAAUUCCAUCCUCCAGCCAGCGAUCUUCCUCGGUGGAAAGAGUGAAGUCACAGCCCACGUUUGGUCUUGCUAUGCAUUCUAGGCUGGCCUGAAACUCAGAGCGAUCCUCUUGCUUCAGCCUCCCGAGUGCUGGGAUUACAGGCGUGCCCACCAUUCCCAUCUUCUGGCCAGAUUCUUUUCAAAUAAAUCCCUGCCCUGCUGAGGUCAUGAAGACGCUGACUGGCUCAGGAAUUCCCCGAGACUUCUCCUAGCACACUUGUGGGUCCCACUCUGAGAGUCCCCAUUACUCAUCGCUGAUCUCCACCCUGCUGGGGGCCGAGUUGGUAGUUUUGUUUUUUCUUUUGGUACCGGGGAUCGAGCUCCGGACCUUGCUCUUGCAAGGCAGGCAGGCGGCAGCACCACUGAGCUAAAUCCCCGGUCCUUUGGUUGCAGUUUUAAGCCCAGUGCGGACACCACUGUGCACUCGGGAUCUUGGGCUGCAGUUUUUGUGGGGGAUUUUUAGGCAGAAUAUUUAUUGGUACGCUUUUUCUUUUAUUUCUUUUUUGGUACCAGGGAUUGAACUCGGGCUCUUGCGCUUGCGCAGCAGGCAGCAAAACCACUGAGCUAAAUCCCCGGCCCUGUUGGUACGUUUUAGAUACAGACUUAGGAACUCGAUUCAUUCCUGAGGGCUGGUUGUAACUCAGUUUGGUCAGUGAAGGUUCAGGCUCCUCCACACAGCCUUCAGACUCUCUUCUGUACACAGGCACAUCUCGGUGUCCUUAGAGAGAUUUGGCCCAAGAUUUCUCAGUUAACCCACACAGGAAAGGAUGCUGUCGUGCUCCUUCCGGAACUCUGUAAGGGUUAAAUCUGUCUGAGACCAUCCAGAAGCACAAGUGGCCGCCAUUCGGCACUAACCCUAAGUUAAAACUAAAGUUCUGGUCAUAACCCAAGUUCGUAUGUUGGGUCGGUCGUAACUCGAGGGCCGACUGUAAAUAACAUUCGUCAUGGGGAAUUUGUACCUGUGUAUGAUAUAUCUUCUCCCAUCCACCCUCCCUCCAACCCUUCCCCUCCUUACUUACAAAAGCUUUGAUUCCAUUUUUUCCUCCUAUUCUCUGUGGUCCCUUUUCUUUCCCCUUCCCCCUCCCUCCCCUUCUCUUCUGAACAUUUUCUUCCCGUUUCCCAAUAUCUGUUACGUAUUUUAGUAGUCAUUUCCACUUUCAGUUCCUCACACCAGAGAAACAAUGGUAUGUACAUGUGGUCUGAUUUAUUUCACUAAAGAGUAUGGAUUUAAGGUGUGUUUAUUAGCUAGAAAUGUCUCAAGCUCAUCCUCCUUUAUGGCUAAGUAGUGCUCCAUUGUAUAAAAAACUGCGUCAUU